GAUGAAGAACGUAGCGAAAUGCGAUACUUGGUGUGAAUUGCAGAAUCCCGUGAACCAUCGAGUCUUUGAACGCAAGUUGCGCCCGAAGCCAUUAGGCCGAGGGCACGCCUGCCUGGGCGUCACACGUCGUUGCCCCCCCAUCUACUCCUUCGGGAUUGCGGGGGGCGGAUGAUGGCCUCCCGUGCGCCUCGUCGCGCGGUUGGCAUAAAUGCCAAGUCCUCGGCGACGCACGCCACGACAAUCGGUGGUUGCGAAACCUCGGUUGCCCGUCGUGUGCGGUCGUCGCGCAUCGAGGGCUCGAAAAAAUUGCCGGACUCCGGCUCGACUUUCAACGCGACCCCAGGUCAGGCGGGGUUACCCGCUGAAUUUAAGCAUAUCAAUAAGCGGAGGA
rnacentral:misc_RNA from 1 species